AGAGCGAACGCUGGCGGCAGGCUUAACACAUGCAAGUCGAACGCCCCGCAAGGGGAGUGGCAGACGGGUGAGUAACGCGUGGGAACAUGCCCUUUGGUUCGGAAUAACUCAGGGAAACUUGAGCUAAUACCGGAUAAGCCCCGUAAGGGGGAAAGAUUUAUCGCCGAAGGAUUGGCCCGCGUCCGAUUAGCUAGUUGGUGAGGUAAUGGCUCACCAAGGCGACGAUCGGUAGCUGGUCUGAGAGGAUGAUCAGCCACACUGGGACUGAGACACGGCCCAGACUCCUACGGGAGGCAGCAGUGGGGAAUAUUGGACAAUGGGGGCAACCCUGAUCCAGCCAUGCCGCGUGAGUGAUGAAGGCCCUAGGGUUGUAAAGCUCUUUCGACGGGGACGAGUAAUGACGGUACCCGUAGAAGAAGCCCCGGCUAACUUCGCGCCAGCAGCCGC
rnacentral:rRNA from 1 species